rnacentral:rRNA from 1 species
GAGUUUGAUCCUGGCUCAGGAUGAACGCUGGCGGCGUGCUUAACACAUGCAAGUCGAACGGGAAAUAUUUCAUUGAGACUUCGGUGGAUUUGAUCUAUUUCUAGUGGCGGACGGGUGAGUAACGCGUGGGUAACCUGCCUUAUACAGGGGGAUAACAGUCAGAAAUGGCUGCUAAUACCGCAUAAGACCACAGCACCGCAUGGUGCAGGGGUAAAAACUCCGGUGGUACAGGAUGGACCCGCGUCUGAUUAGCUGGUUGGUGAGGUAACGGCUCACCAAGGCGACGAUCAGUAGCCGGCUUGAGAGAGUGAACGGCCACAUUGGGACUGAGACACGGCCCAAACUCCUACGGGAGGCAGCAGUGGGGAAUAUUGCACAAUGGGGGAAACCCUGAUGCAGCGACGCCGCGUGAGUGAAGAAGUAUCUCGGUAUGUAAAGCUCUAUCAGCAGGGAAGAAAAUGACGGUACCUGACUAAGAAGCCCCGGCUAACUACGUGCCAGCCGCCGCGGUAAUAC